UUCUAUAAUAUAGAUAUAGAACAAGAUAUAGUGCAUCAUUGGACUUGGGUAAAUCCAAUGGUGUGUUAUAUCUUCUUCUAUAUCUAUGAUAGAACAAAGCCUAAAAUUCACUACUUCAAAGUGUCUAAUAUGUUGUGCUAGAAUACAACAAUGCUAUAAUUUGUUUUAAACAUAGAACAAAAUAUAGUAUUGUUCUAUUUUAGCACAAGAUAUUAAACAUCAUUGGAAUGUUUAAUUUUAGUUUUUGUUCUAUAAUAUAGAUAUAGAACAAGAUAUAGCGCAUCAUUGGAUCUGGGUAAAUCCAAUGGUGUGUUAUAUUCUCUUCUAUAUCUAUGAUAGAACAAAGACUAAAAUUCACUACUUCAAAGUGU
rnacentral:lncRNA from 1 species